ensembl:lncRNA
GGAAUCAUCACUUUCAGUUAGAAUAGCAGACUCUGGCCAUCCUUAUUCCCUUCCUCAGCAAGCCAGCUGGAUUUGUGAAAACAGACCAACCCUUUCCCAUUAAAUCAUAAAUACUGCAGGUUUUAUUCCUUACUGACUCAUAGGCUCCAAGAUUUAGGAAAGGGUACAAUAUUAAUUUCCAGAGCUAAACUUGACAUAAGUCACAGUGCUCCAGUUGUCAUUUAAACUUCAGGUGUGUUUUUCUUCUAUUCCAGGUACUCCAGAGCUGCCUUGUAAUCCCUGAAUCCUACUGAACUCACACCCUGGUGAUGUAUCAGUGUCAAAGGGAUGCAACUGGUAAUUCUGCCUGGCUGUUAAACUGCCUCGUGUCACCCUGUUUCCAAUGGCUGCUGACAAGGGCCACUGUGAGACCUGUAAACCACUGCAGUGCAGCCCAAGCCCUGAGCCUGUGUGAAGAUUUAGACAUGCCCAAGGGAUUUAGGGAUGUCCAAGCCUGGCAGGGGUGGGAAAACUGAGAUGUUCUUGCUUGAGAUCCUCGAGUGGAGCUAAGGAACCAAAUUUCUUAUAUAAUUGAUGCUUCAUUUCCUCAUUAAUGCCACAAAGAUUUAUGUGAAGGGACUUCCAGAGUGCUAAUGGAAUUACCCACCUAAAUCUCCCCCACGCCAACGGCAGGGAACGCUCUGGUUCUUUGCCCUCAUGUCAGUGCUGGGUGAGUAACUGAAUUAUUUGUUAGCCAGCAAAAUUAAAAGACCUUGAUUUUUGUUGGACUUUUCAAUACCUGUUUUGUUGUUUGUUUUUUUUUUUAAUACCUUUACUUAGGUAUUUACUUAAGAGUUAUAAUUUGAAAUACAAAAUGAAAACAUUUUGAUAAUUUUUCCCAUUCCAGUGCCAGUGAGGGUCAGUGGUAUCAGUCAGUAAAUUCUGGUUUUUGGGUUUUUAUUAACAAAAUGCCACCCUGCAGCAUUCCACUUACCUCUGUUUAGUGUGCCUGUGUUUAGUGUUCUCCUGUCAGGACUUUAAUGUUGCUUCAAAUCUGGUGCUGAUUUUGCUGAAAAAUCCUUUACCAUAUCCUCACUACUGCCAGUUAACUUCCUAAAAUCCCUUUGCAUUUAAUAUCUGUGCCAGGGCACAGAACUGCACUGGCUGAGCUUAGGGAGGAUGAAAAGAGCAGCACAAUCACUUGUGCAGAGCAGGACCAGCCUCUGGUCUGGUGAAAAUGACUGAAAGAGUAGGAAUAAUUCUGGAAAUCACUCUGAAAUCAAGAUGGGAGGAUAAAGCUGGGGCUGGGCUGACACUUGUGUGAAACCACUUCUGUGAACCUUGUUCAAGUGCGUGCACAGACACCUGGGAAUGAUUUAUUCCUUGUCAUGGGCCAUCCUGUGGAGCUGUGAGUGUUGUCAGGAAAGGUGACCAGGUCAGCUGCUCCAUGCAGGAUGAGGACAGCUCGUGCAAAUAAAGGGAAACACAAGUUCAGGAUGCUGGAAGUAUGAGAGUCUGAAGAUUAAUGAUAGAAGACUCUGAUGUGUUUGAGGAAAGGAAAGUAAGCAGGAAAAAGGGGCCUAAAUUAGUCUGCAGCUCUCUGG